CAGCCGCCGCGGGAAAACGAAGGGGGCUAGCGUUGCUCGGAAUUACUGGGCGUAAAGGGAGCGUAGGCGGACAUUUAAGUCAGGGGUGAAAUCCCGGGGCUCAACCUCGGAAUUGCCUUUGAUACUGGGUGUCUUGAGUAUGAGAGAGGUAUGUGGAACUCCGAGUGUAGAGGUGAAAUUCGUAGAUAUUCGGAAGAACACCAGUGGCGAAGGCGACACACUGGCUCAUUACUGACGCUGAGGCUCGAAAGCGUGGGGAGCAAACAGGAUUAGAUAUCCCCGUAGUCCCUGUCUCUUAUAC
rnacentral:rRNA from 1 species